GCGGUUCUGGGUAGUCUUUCUGAGUUCUAUUGGUUGUUUGAGGUGUUAUUGAAGCUGUGUGGGUAAAAGGUGAAGCUGCUAGUGUUCGCUCAAGACAGUUACCUCAAGAGAAAGUUAUUGAAGUCUAAAGGGUUCUACAUUCAACAUGGAGAGUGGGAUGAACAUGAACAUGAAGGUGGCGGUGUGUUUCAAGGGAAACAACU
rnacentral:lncRNA from 1 species